GAUAACCGAAAGUAAAAAUAACCCCAUUACACGCCUGAGGAGGAUGUGGAGAAGAAAGAAACCCCUCGGAAGGGAGAAGAUGAAAGACAGAAACCGAAAGGCGAGAGAGAGGCAGUGAGAGGAGGGGGAAAAAGAAAAGACGAAAAGGCAUCUUUUUGAAACUGGAAUUAAACAUGAGCUGGGAGGACAGGCCUGGCCUUAAGGAAGCAUUCUUUAUAGACUUGGAUCAAGCGUGGGUCCUGUUUUUAAGGCAAUACUCUGCUCAAGCCAUCUGUGGACCUGGGGAAGCUCAUCUGGAAUUCCCUGGUGAAGGAUAUAAGGUGGAAAGAAAGAAAGAGAGAGAGAAAAAAAAAGAAGGAAGAAGCCAACUCCUAAACCCCUGGAAAUCUGUGUUAAUUGCUUAUGAAUGUCUCUGUCUAAAAAAAAUUAUCGAAUUGAUGUCGUCGUGGGUUUUUUGACAGCCUGUCUGUUACAUUUUUUUAAAUAUUCAUGCACCAAAAUCUAAUUACUAGGCAAAUUUAAUGAUAAUGAAAUGAAGGCACUUUAGCGGAAAGCACAGGGCCCCCGUUAAUGUUUUCUCAGCCUCUGUCUUGUUCGUAAUUUUUUUUUUUUAUGACUGCCUUUCUUGCAUUUAAAAAAAAAAAAGGAUUGCCGAAAAUAAAAC
rnacentral:lncRNA from 1 species